CCGAACUCAGGGUUGGAGACUUGGAGCACUCCCGAGUCCCGAACACGGAACACAACGAGCAAGGCUAUAACCAGCAACCAGCAUAUCGUUCGAUUCAGUGUUUGAGGAGGUUGGAAUGAAAAAGGCAUACCAAAAGAAAGUGAUUGAGAAAAUUAUAGCAGAAAGGGACUGUUUGAUUGUCAUGGCUACUGGAAGUGGCAAGUCUUUGUGGCAGUGAGGCAGAUGUGUAUCUUUUCGAUGGUUGCAUU